CGCAAGGGUUUCUUCCAAGUAAAAAUCCCCAAAUCCAUAUCAAUUGGCGGCACAGUCCAAUAGGUCACCACCACUCUUCUCACGCCUCCAUUGCCGUCAACCGCAUCCAAAGCGUUUUCUACUUACUGCUUAUCUGAGAAAUUUUAGUAGGGAAAAGAAAAUUUGGACCUGGAAAAGCUAGUUUAUUUACAUCUCGUCGUAGUCUGAUCUUGUUAUACUUGACGUGAACACAACGGUGAAGAGAUAUACAUGCUGGAUAGGAGUUGGAUGCAACUUUGUAACAGAUUAAGUAAUCAAUAUUUAGAUGGUGUUAAUUCAGGAGGUAGCAAAACAAUGUCUGGAUGAGAACAACGAGGUUCAGUGUCCACGUCGAGAUUGUCAAAAUGCAUUUAUGGUAGAAUCUCAUUUAUAUCAUCCCAAAGUCUCUGGAAGUUAUGAGAGAUGGAUUUUUCAUGGGGUGGAACUUGAGAAUGAUACGGAGGGUGUUGAAAGAAAUACAUCUAAAUUGGAUGAAGCAGAAAAUGAUGAUGAGAUGAUGAUAUGUUAGAAAAUCUAUGUGCUGCUAAAGUCAUCUGAAGCUGGCCAAACUCGAGAGGGGGAAGCAUAUGGCAGAAAUCAUAAUUUCUCACAUAUGAUGAUGCGACAAACUCUCUGUGUUGUGAAAUAAAUUUAAUUACAAACAUCACUUGUUUUAUGAUAAACUGUAUUAUAAAUUUUGAAUAUCUUAAAAUAUAUUAUGCAACAUAUCAAAUGCAUUGUAAAUCAUAUUUCGCUACAAAUUUGACUUGUUAUUAAAUA